AGUGAACGCUGGCGGUAGGCCUAACACAUGCAAGUCGAACGGCAGCACAGUAAGAGCUUGCUCUUACGGGUGGCGAGUGGCGGACGGGUGAGGAAUACAUCGGAAUCUACUUUUUCGUGGGGGAUAACGUAGGGAAACUUACGCUAAUACCGCAUACGACCUACGGGUGAAAGCAGGGGAUCUUCGGACCUUGCGCGAUUGAAUGAGCCGAUGUCGGAUUAGCUAGUUGGCGGGGUAAAGGCCCACCAAGGCGACGAUCCGUAGCUGGUCUGAGAGGAUGAUCGGCCACACUGGAACUGAGACACGGUCCAGACUCCUACGGGAGGCAGCAGUGGGGAAUAUUGGACAAUGGGCGAAAGCCUGAUCCAGCCAUACCGCGUGGGUGAAGAAGGCCUUCGGGUUGUAAAGCCCUUUUGUUGGGGAAGAAAAGCAGCAGGUUAAUACCCCGCUGUUCUGACGGUACCCAAAGAAUAAGCACCGGCUAACUUCGUG
rnacentral:rRNA from 1 species